UGACAAAAGUGGUAUCAGAGAGGUUCGUCCUAGUGAGUCUACAAAGCCGUGUCUACAUAGAGUCUUGUUUAUCGGUGUGUUGUGCACCACAUCCAUAAACAGGAGGCUAUGGACAUUUAGGAAAUUGUUUCUUUUCUUCAGAUCAUAGAUCGUGCCAUAGAGUUUAUAUAGCAAACGAAGUCAUAGUUGGCCACUGAAUCCAUUUGUUUCUCUUAUUACAGUAAGAAUGCCGGAUACCGGAAGUAAGAAUACCGGCGAGCGGGUAGACGUAGCUGCCGGAGAAGGGACUAGUAAGUCACCACUGUACAAGUUAAUUAGAGUGAAGCUCAAGUUGAGCGGGUAUCUGAAAUGUCUUCCACUCCAGAUGGAAUAAGGGGGAGGCGAACCACAUUCACAGAACCACUUGUUAAU
rnacentral:lncRNA from 1 species